rnacentral:rRNA from 1 species
GCAAUGCCGCGUGCAGGAUGAAGGCCUUCGGGUUGUAAACUGCUUUUGUACGGAACGAAACGGCCCUUUCUAAUAAAGGGGGCUAAUGACGGUACCGUAAGAAUAAGCACCGGCUAACUACGUGCCAGCAGCCGCGGUAAUACGUAGGGUGCGAGCGUUAAUCGGAAUUACUGGGCGUAAAGCGUGCGCAGGCGGUUAUAUAAGACAGAUGUGAAAUCCCCGGGCUCAACCUGGGACCUGCAUUUGUGACUGUAUAGCUAGAGUACGGUAGAGGGGGAUGGAAUUCCGCGUGUAGCAGUGAAAUGCGUAGAUAUGCGGAGGAACACCGAUGGCGAAGGCAAUCCCCUGGACCUGUACUGACGCUCAUGCACGAAAGCGUGGGGAGCAAACAGGAUUAAAUACCCUGGUAGUCCAGGCCCUAAACUAUGUCUACUGGUUGUUGGGUCUUCAGUGAAUCACUAAAGAAGCUAAC